rnacentral:rRNA from 1 species
AGAGUUUGAUCCUGGCUCAGCCUGAACGCUGGCGGCGUGGUUAAGACAUGCAAGUCGCACGGGCGUAGCAAUACGCCAGUGGCGAACGGGUGAGUAAUGAAUCGCUAACGUACCCCGGACUCCGGGAUAGCUGCCCGAAAGGGCAGGUAAUACCGGGUAACAUACCGCCAGGGCAUCCUGGUGGUCUCAGAGGUCCGCCGGUCUGGGAGCGGGCGAUUUCGUAUCAGCUAGUUGGUGAGGUAACGGCUCACCAAGGCGACGACGCGUAGCCGGACUGAGAGGUUGGCCGGCCACAUCGGGACUGAGACACUGCCCGGACUCCUACGGGGGGCUGCAGUAACGAAUCUUCCCCAAUGCGCGAAAGCGUGAGGGAGCGACGCCGCGUGCGGGGACGAAGUCCUUCGGGAUGUAAACCGCUGUCAGGGGAUACCAAGUUUCUGAGGAUCCCCAGAGGAAAGGGGGCGGCUAACUCUGUGCCAGCAGCCGCGGUAAAGACAGAGGCCCCGAGCGUUAGGCGGAAUCACUGGGCUUAAAGCGUGUGUAAGGCGGAUCGGUUAAGUUGUCUUUGGUGAAAUCCCACGGCUCACCCGUGGAACUGCUGGGCAUACUGGCGAUCUUGGGCCGUUCAGGGGCGACUG